AUGCUACGGCCGGCAGGGCUCUGGCGCUUAUGUCGGCGACCUUGGGCGGCGAGGGUCCCAGUGGAGAAUCUUGGCCGUAGGGAAGUCACCUCUGGUGUCUCUCCCCGCGGUAGCACCUCGCCCAGAACCCUGAAUAUUUUCGACCGGGAUUUGAAAAGGAAACAGAAGAACUGGGCAGCCCGGCAGCCCGAGCCGACCAAGUUUGACUACCUGAAGGAGGAGGUUGGAAGUCGGAUCGCAGACCGUGUAUAUGACAUACCCAGAAAUUUCCCCCUUGCUUUGGAUCUUGGUUGUGGAAGAGGUUACAUUGCACAAUAUUUGAAUAAGGAAACUAUUGGAAAGUUUUUCCAAGCCGACAUUGCAGAAAAUGCUUUGAAAAAUUCCUCAGAAACAGAAAUACCUACUGUCAGCGUUUUAGCUGAUGAAGAAUUCCUUCCCUUCAAAGAAAAUACAUUUGACCUGGUGGUUAGCAGUUUAAGUUUGCAUUGGGUGAAUGACCUUCCUAGAGCACUUGAGCAGAUUCAUUAUAUUUUAAAACCAGAUGGAGUGUUUAUCGGUGCAAUGUUUGGAGGCGACACACUCUAUGAACUUCGGUGUUCCUUACAGUUAGCGGAAACGGAAAGGGAAGGAGGAUUUUCUCCACACAUUUCUCCUUUCACUGCUGUCAAUGACCUGGGACAUCUGCUUGGGAGAGCUGGCUUUAAUACUCUGACUGUGGGAAAAGCUCUGAUUGACAAUGUUUAGUUUGUAUAACACAUCUUAAUUGACACAAGCCUGCCGAGUGCCUGCGAUUGCAGGCGUGCGCUGCCACGCCUGACUGGUUUUCGUAUUUUUUUGGUGGAGACGGGGUUUCGAUGUGUCGGCUGGGCUGGUCUCCAGCUCCUAACCGCGAGUGAUCCGCCAGCCUCGGCCUCCCGAGGUGCCGGGAUUGCAGACGGAGUCUCAUUAACUCAGUGCUCAAUGGCGCCCAGGCUGGAGUGCAGUGGCGUGAUCUCGGCUCGCUACAACCACCUCCCAGCCGCCUGCCUUGGCCUCCCUAAGUGCCGAGAUUGCAGCCUCUGCCUGGCAGCCACCCCGUCUGGGAAGUGAGGAGCGUCUCCGCCUGACUGCCCAUCGUCUGGGAUGUGAGGAGCCCCUCUGCCUGGCUGCCCAGUCUGGAAAGUGAGGAGCGUCUCUGCCCGGCCGCCAUCCCAUCUAGGAAGUGAGGAGCGCCUCUUCCCGGCUGCCAUCACAUCUGGGAAGUGAGGAGCGUCUCUGCCCGGCCGCCCAUCGUCUGAGAUGUGGGGAGCACCUCUGCCCUGCCGCCCCGUCGGGGAUGUGAGGAGUGUCUCUGCCCGGCCGCCCUGUCUGAGAAGUGAGGAGACCCUCUGCCUGGCAACCGCCCCGUCUGAGAAGUGAGGAGCCCCUCCGCCCGGCAGCCACCCCGUCUGAGAAGACACUGAUGAAAUUCAAGUUAACUAUCCUGGAAUGUUUGAAUUGAUGGAAGAUUUACAAGAAAAAAAGUCCAGAAUGUUGACCUAAUUUUACAAAACAAGCUGCAUAUCAGCUGAUGAAUGCAUGAGAAAUUUUCAAGGCUUUCACAGUGGUCUUAAGGUAUGGGUGAGAGUAACUGUGCUUGGAAUAGAAAAGCCCUGCUGCAUCGAGACACAAUGCUGGCAGCUGCGGCAGUGUACAGAGAAAUGUACAGAAAUGAAGAUGGUUCAGUACCUGCUACAUACCAGAUCUAUUACAUGAUAGGAUGGAAAUAUCAUGAGUCACAGGCAAGACCAGCUGAAAGAGGUUCCGCAACUGUGUCAUUUGGAGAGCUAGGAAAAAUAAACAACCUUAUGCCACCGGGGAAAAAAUCACAAUAAAUAUUUAUUCAGUGUUAA